rnacentral:rRNA from 1 species
UGAGGAAUAUUGGGCAAUGCCCGAAAGGGUGACCCAGCAACGCCGCGUGAAGGAUGGAGGCCGUAAGGUUGUAAACUUCUUUUGUAUGGGACGAAAAAGCUUGUUGAUAGCAAGCAUUGACGGUACCUUAAGAAAAAGCCCCGGCUAACUACGUGCCAGCAGCCGCGGUAAUACGUAGGGGGCAAGCGUUGUCAGGAUUUACUGGGUGUAAAGGGCGCGUAGGCGGGUUUGUAAGUCAGCGGUGAAAUCCUAGAGCUUAACGAUAGAACUGCCGUUGAUACUGCAAG